rnacentral:rRNA from 1 species
GUUCGAUUCCGGAGAGGGAGCCUGAGAAACGGCUACCACAUCCAAGGAUGGCAGCAGGCGCGCAAAUUACCCAAUCCCGACACGGGGAGGUAGUGACAAUAAAUAACAAUACGGGGUUCUUUCGGAUCUCGUAAUUGGAAUGAGUACAAUUUAAAUCUCUUAACGAGGAACAAUUGGAGGGCAAGUCUGGUGCCAGCAGCCGCGGUAAUUCCAGCUCCAAUAGCGUAUAUUAAAGUUGUUGCAGUUAAAAAGCUCGUAGUUGAAUUUCGGGGUUAGUAGGUUGGUCAUGCCUCUGGUAUGUACUGGUCUCACUGAUUCCUCCUUCCUUAUGAACCGUAAUGCCAUUAAUUUGGUGUUGCGGGGAAUUUGGACUGUUACUUUGAAAAAAUUAGAGUGUUUAAAGCAGGCUAACGCUUGAAUACAUUAGCAUGGAAUAAUGAAAUAGGACGUUCGAUCUUAUUUUGUUGGUUUCUAGGAUUGACGUAAUGAUUAAUAGGGAUAGUUGGGGGCAUUAGUAUUCAAUUGUCAGAGGUGAAAUUCUUGGAUUUAUUGAAGACUAACUACUGCGAAAGCAUUUGCCAAGGAUGUUUUCAUUAAUCAAGAACGAAAGUUAGGGGAUCGAAGACGAUCAGAUACCGUCGUAGUCUUAACCAUAAACUAUGCCGACUAGGGAUCGGAUGAUGUUAAUUUUUUAAUGACUCAUUCGGCGCCUUACGG